rnacentral:lncRNA from 1 species
CACCAGAAUGACACCAAGAAGACACUCUUUAGAUAUCACACAACUUAGGAUUUAAUUUUUGGCUCCAACAUAUGAAAAAACCAAAUCCUAAGGCACUCAAGCAACACUUGCUGAAAAUCUCACCACCCUAGUAGCAACUUUUGCCACUCCAAAUUUCCUCUUUUUUUAAAAUUUUUUUUUAGAUUUUUUCUUAUAUUUACCACGUCUCCCC